rnacentral:misc_RNA from 1 species
UGCUUGCUUGCCUUUGGCAAUGUGGGGAGUGGAUUGUCUUGUAGUGUUGGGCCUUGCUAUCGUGGGGGCGUGUGAGUGGUGAUCGGGAUUUUUGUGCUGUCUGGCUCCAUGCUCAUGGUCAUCGAACUGCCAGCACGUGAUCCUCCUCAGGUUUGCCCUUUGCUUUGUGGCCUUGUCGGUUGCUUACGGUUUCUGUGUUGCCUACCCGUUAAGUGGUAUUCAUGUGCCUUUUAUGACCCAUUCCCUCCAGAGCCUUCUUUGGUGUUUCUGGGGGAUUCGAAAGUGAUGCUUGCUUUGCGUUAGCCGUGUGUUGUGAUGGCUAGCGUGCUCACACGUGUCUCUUGUUCUCAUGGAUGCGGUGCAUGCGGUGAACGUGGGCUACCGAUGGUGCCCCGUUGAGUCCUUUGGUUUAUCGGUUCCCUAGAAUGCCACUCUGCUGUUGUGCUGGUCACUUGCUUCCCCAUUCGUGGGUGCAACACUAGUACGUCUAGCAGAGAGUCGUUGACGG